rnacentral:rRNA from 1 species
GGGCAUGCGGCAGCNUACCAUGCAAGUCGAACGGUAGCACGGACAGCUUGCUCUCGGGUGACGAGUGGCGGACGGGUGAUGAAUGUCAGGGAGACUGCCUGAUGGAGGGGGAUAACUACUGGAAACGGUAACUAAUACCGCACACUGUCGCAGGACCAAAGAGGGGGACCUUCCGUCCUCUUGCCAUCAGAUGUGCCCAGAAGGGAUUAGCUAGUAGGUGGGGUAACGGCUCACCUAAGCAACCAUCCCUAGCUGGUCUGAAAGGAUGACCACCCUCACUGGAACUGACACACGGUACACACUCCUACGGGAGGCAUGAGUGGGGAAUAUUGCAGAAUGAGCGCAUGCCUGAUGCAUCCAUGCCGCGUGUAUGAAGAAUGCCUUCUGGUUGUAAAGUAC